UGUGGGAGCUGGCUUGCCAGCGAUGUAGCCGGCACAGUCAAUAUCUAUGUUGCCUGACCCACCGCUAUCGCUGGCAAGCCAGCUCCCACA
rnacentral:antisense_RNA from 1 species